CAUAUCAAUAAGCGGAGGAAAAGAAACCAACAGGGAUUGCCCUAGUAACGGCGAGUGAAGCGGCAACAGCUCAAAUUUGAAACCUGGCGCAAGCCCGGAUUGUAAUUUGCAGAGGAUGCUUCUGGGCAGCGGCCGUUCUAAGUUCCUUGGAACAGGACGUCAUAGAGGGUGAGAAUCCCGUACGUGACCGGCCCGCACCCUCCACGAAGCUCCUUCGACGAGUCGAGUUGUUUGGGAAUGCAGCUCUAAAUGGGAGGUAAAUUUCUUCUAAAGCUAAAUAUUGGCCAGAGACCGAUAGCGCACAAGUAGAGUGAUCGAAAGAUGAAAAGCACUUUGGAAAGAGAGUUAAAAAGCACGUGAAAUUGUUGAAAGGGAAGCGCUCCCAACCAGACUCCGCGGCGGUGUUCCGCCGGUCUUCUGACCGGUCCACUCGCCGCCGUGGGGCCAACAUCGUCUGGGGCCGCCGGAUAAGACCGGAGGAAUGUGGCUCUCUGAGCGUUAUAGCCUCCGGUGAUGCGGCGCGCCCCGGGCGAGGUCCGCGCUUCGGCAAGGAUGUUGGCGUAAUGGUUGGCAGCGGCCCGUCUUGAAACACGGACCAAGGAGUCUAACAUCUAUGCGAGUGUUCGGGUGUCAAACCCCUGCGCGUAAUGAAAGUGAACGGAGGUGGGAACCGCAAGGUGCACCAUCGACCGAUCCUGAUGUCCUCGGAUGGAUUUGAGUAAGAGCAUAGCUGUUGGGACCCGAAAGAUGGUGAACUAUGCCUGAAUAGGGUGAAGCCAGAGGAAACUCUGGUGGAGGCUCGCAGCGGUUCUGACGUGCAAAUCGAUCGUCAAAUUUGGGUAUAGGGGCGAAAGACUAAUCGAACCAUCUAGUAGCUGGUUCCUG
rnacentral:rRNA from 1 species